GGGUGGUUAGCUCAGCGGUAGAGCACCUCGUUUACACCGAGGGGGCCGGGGGUUCGAAACCCUCACCACCCACCA
rnacentral:tRNA from 1 species